ACACCGGCAGCUCGAGUGGUAGCUGUUUUUAUUGGGCCUAAAGCGUUCGUAGCCGGUUUGAUAAGUCUUUGGUGAAAGCUUGUAGCUUAACUAUAAGAAUUGCUGGAGAUACUAUCAGACUUGAAGUCGGGAGAGGUUAGAGGUACUACCGGGGUAGGGGUGAAAUCCUAUAAUCCUGGGAGGACCACCUGUGGCGAAGGCGUCUAACUGGAACGAUCUUGACGGUGAGUAACGAAAGCCAGGGGCGCGAACCGGAUUAGAUACCCGGGUAGUCCUGGCCGUAAACGAUGUGGACUUGGUGUUGGAAUGGCUUUGAGUUGUUCCGGUGCCGAAGGGAAGCUGUUAAGUCCACCGCCUGGGAAGUACGGUCGCAAGACUGAAACUUAAAGGAAUGGGCGGGG
rnacentral:rRNA from 1 species